CCGGUAAGACAGGCAAUUGCGUGGAUCUUCGGGAUUCAUGAGGAAAGUCCGGGCUCCAUAGGGCGAGGAUGCCGGAUAACGUCCGGCGUAGGUAACUAUAGGGAAAGUGCAACAGAAACAUACCGCCGAAACGGGUAAUGCCGUGGUAAGGGCGAAAUUGUGAGGUGAGAGCUCACAGGGGAUUAUGGUAACAUAGUCCUCGUGUAAACCCCAUCCGGAGCAAGACCAAGAUAGGGCACAAAAGGCGGCGGCCCGUCGCUGCCCGGUAGGUAGGUCGCUAGAGCUUGGUAGUAAUAUCAAGUCGAGAUAGAUGAUUGCCAGAUACAGAACCCGGCUUACGUCUUACCAGUAAC
rnacentral:RNase_P_RNA from 1 species